rnacentral:rRNA from 1 species
GACGAACGCUGGCGGUGUGCUUAACACAUGCAAGUCGAACGGAAAGGCCCUGCUUUUGUGGGGUUCUCGAGUGGCGAACGGGUGAGUAACACGUGAGUAACCUGCCCUUGACUUUGGGAUAACUUCAGGAAACUGGGGCUAAUACCGGAUAUGAGCUCCUGCUGCAUGGUUGUGGUUGGAAAGUUUCGGCGGUUGGGGUUGGACUCGCGGCUUAUCAGCUUGUUGGUGGGGUAGUGGCUUACCACGGCUUUGACGGGUAGCCGGCCUGGGAGGGUGACCGGCCACAUUGGGACUGAGAUACGGCCCAGACUCCUACGGGAGGCAGCAGUGGGGAAUAUUGCACAAUGGGCGGAAGCCUGAUGCAGCAACGCCGCGUGCGGGAUGACGGCCUUCGGGUUGUAAACCGCUUUCGCCUGUGACGAAGCGUGAGUGACGGUAAUGGGUAAAGAAGCACCGGCUAACUACGUG